rnacentral:rRNA from 1 species
AAGCUCGUAGUUGAAUUUCGGGAUCAGACUGUCGGUCGUGCCUCGGUACGCACUGGCAUUAUUGGUUCCUACCUUCUGAAGAACCGCGAUGUCAUUAAUUUGGUGUCGCGGGGAAUCAGGACUGUUACUUUGAAAAACUUAGAGUGUUUAAAGCAGGCUUACGCUUGAAUACAUUAGCAUGGAAUAAUGAAAUAGGACGUUUGAUUCUAUUUUAGUUGGUUUCUAGGAUCGACGUAAUGAUUAAUAGGGUAGUGGG